GUGAAAGACCCGAGCUAACAUGGGGUUAGUUCGUUAAAUUACAAUAAAGCCUCGUGCAGUUUGCAGCAAGCUCUCGAAUCCGCCUGGUGAUUGGGGUGACCGCGAACCUGGCCUGAGACCCCGGAUACUUGAGUUUUCGGGGGUCUAACAUUUUGGGGGCUCGUCCGGGAUUUGCGACCACCCUUCACCUGAGUGGAUUCGAUCUUGGAGGUAAGAUGAUUCGAGCUCGAAACUUAUAUAUGUUCAAUGUUCAAUGUUUGCUUGUUUUGUCUCUUGCUGCUUUGUUUGGUGCCAUGAUUUGUAUUUGAUCUGCGCAGAAUUUGUAUUUGUAAUUCGGACUUCUGGGGAUGACCCUAAAGUCCUGCCCUGGAUGAAAGUCCGAGGGUUGCUUAAUUUGAUCUGCGCAGAAUUUGUAAUUUGUAUUUGAUCUGCGCAGAAUUUGUAAUUGAACCAUAGGGUAAGCAGACUUGCGAGAACCUUGGUUCCACUCUGGAUGAAAGUCCAAGGUUUGGUUGUAAUUUUGGUUUGGGGCACCAUUUCUUUGCCUCGGUUUGUCCUGUCUAAUGUUUGUGCUGUCUAAUGUGCUGUCAUUUGUGUUAUGUGUUUCUUAAGCAUCUCUUUCUGUCCCACAUUGCCCAUGCACGUGGCAUGCAUGGGUCAGGGGUCUUUUCUUGUUGCCCUAAGCACAUGGCACGGGAAAGGAGUUCUGCCAUGUGUCACGGGUUAGAAUGUGUUAUGUUGGAGUCCCCCGAUGCUGCUUUUCUGAACUCGAACCACUGCUGCAGCCCUUACAGCUGAGCCUGGCCCAUGUAGUUUAUAAUGUCAGACAGACUGCCAGAUCUGGACAGUGACCCAAAGUCUCCAAAGAAGAUUACGAGGCACCUCAGUUCCUGCACCUGGACCAGUGAGCGAGAUGCUCAGAUGUGAAACCUGCCGCCUGCCAGAACCUGGCCAAGAAUGUGGACAAAG
rnacentral:lncRNA from 1 species